GACGAACGCUGGCGGCGUGCUUAACACAUGCAAGUCGAACGGAAAGGCCCUGCUUUUGUGGGGUGCUCGAGUGGCGAACGGGUGAGUAACACGUGAGUAACCUGCCCUUGACUUUGGGAUAACUUCAGGAAACUGGGGCUAAUACCGGAUAGGAGCUCCUGCUGCAUGGUGGGGGUUGGAAAGUUUCGGCGGUUGGGGAUGGACUCGCGGCUUAUCAGCUUGUUGGUGGGGUAGUGGCUUACCAAGGCUUUGACGGGUAGCCGGCCUGAGAGGGUGACCGGCCACAUUGGGACUGAGAUACGGCCCAGACUCCUACGGGAGGCAGCAGUGGGGAAUAUUGCACAGUGGGCGGAAGCCUGAUGCAGCAACGCCGCGUGCGGGAUGACGGCCUUCGGGUUGUAAACCGCUUUAGCCUGUGACGAAGCGUGAGUGACGGUAAUGGGUAAAGAAGCACCGGCUAACUACGUG
rnacentral:rRNA from 1 species